rnacentral:rRNA from 1 species
GGGGAUAACACCUGGAAACAGAUGCUAAUACCGCAUAACAACUUGGACCGCAUGGUCCGAGCUUGAAAGAUGGCUUCGGCUAUCACUUUUGGAUGGUCCCGCGGCGUAUUAGCUAGAUGGUGGGGUAACGGCUCACCAUGGCAAUGAUACGUAGCCGACCUGAGAGGGUAAUCGGCCACAUUGGGACUGAGACACGGCCCAAACUCCUACGGGAGGCAGCAGUAGGGAAUCUUCCACAAUGGACGAAAGUCUGAUGGAGCAACGCCGCGUGAGUGAAGAAGGGUUUCGGCUCGUAAAACUCUGUUGUUAAAGAAGAACAUAUCUGAGAGUAACUGUUCAGGUAUUGACGGUAUUUAACCAGAAAGCCACGGCUAACUACGUG